rnacentral:rRNA from 1 species
AGCUCCAAUAGCGUAUAUUAAAGUUGUUGCAGUUAAAAAGCUCGUAGUUGGAUUUCUAGGAGGGUGCCGAUGUCCGCCAUCGUGCGUGCGCAGCGGCGCCCUUCCAUCCUUCUGUUAACGCCUCUUGGCAUUCAUUUGCUGGUGGCGGGCUCAGAUAUUUUACCUUGAGAAAAUUAGAGUGUUUCAGGCAGGCUAGGCCGGAAUACAUUAGCAUGGAAUAAUGGAAUAGGACUACGGUCUCUUUGUUGGUGUGAGAGACUGCAGUAAUGAUUAAUAGGGAUAGUUGGGGGCAUUAGUAUUUAAUUGUCAGAGGUGGAAUUCUCGGAUUUGUUAAAGACUAACUUAUGCGAAAGCAUUUACCAAGGAUGUUU